rnacentral:rRNA from 1 species
UGGGGAAUAUUGCACAAUGGGCGGAAGCCUGAUGCAGCAACGCCGCGUGCGGGAUGACGGCCUUCGGGUUGUAAACCGCUUUCGCCUGUGACGAAGCGUGAGUGACGGUAAUGGGUAAAGAAGCACCGGCUAACUACGUGCCAGCAGCCGCGGUGAUACGUAGGGUGCGAGCGUUGUCCGGAUUUAUUGGGCGUAAAGGGCUCGUAGGUGGGUGAUCGCGUCGGAAGUGUAAUCUUGGGGCUUAACCCUGAGCGUGCUUUCGAUACGGGUUGACUUGAGGAAGGUAGGGGAGAAUGGAAUUCCUGGUGGAGCGGUGGAAUGCGCAGAUAUCAGGAGGAACACCAGUGGCGAAGGCGGUUCUCUGGGCCUUUCCUGACGCUGAGGAGCGAAAGCGUGGGGAGCGAACA